GUUGUGAAAUUUGUAUGUUCUGGUAUUUGCUCGAGUGUUUCUGUUAUUCUCUAAAAAACUUAAAACUAACUUUGUAAGAACAUUGUGCUAAAGAAAAAUGGUGUUGCCUUUCACAAACUUGCACUCUCUAACAACUGGUAGGGUGGACUGGAAGAUCAAGGUUAGGGUGGUUUGUAGGUGGUCCGUUGAGAGCAGCUUUUUCCAUGGUCGUGUUGGUAGCAUUGAGCUAAUUUUGCUCGACAUAGAUGGCAACAAGAUUCAGGCAACAAUCCCAUCCUAGUGUGUUGGCCGCUUAGGACCUUUGUUCUUCGGGCAUUUAGUGUAUGUUAUCACCACUUUCAAUGUUGUUGAUAGUGUUAAUGGCUCCUUUGCCACUGGUAACAGAAAGAGCAUUAUGCUUAGGUUGGGUACAAGGGUUGUAAUGGAUGAUAGCUUUCUCAUUCAUAAGUAUGGGUUGACUUCGCUUCGCUCUGAUGAGAUCAAAAGGCCACGUUUUGAUCCCGCUCGGUUGGUUGGUAUCUGUUUCGUUUUUGUAGUCUGGUUUGCUUUGUCUUACUGUUUAUUUACAUUUAUUUAGUCUCUGAUCUCACUGUGAUUCCGUUUUUAAAGAUUUUGUUGGCCUCUUGACUGCUCUGCACUAUGAGAUUGUGAUUAAUGAUGUUGAUGGCUUGAUCACUGUUGCAAACAUUGUUAAAAUCUCUUGCUUACAUUUAAAGUAUCUUAAGUUCAUUUUUUCAUGUGUUUGGAUCCUUUGUUUUUAUUUUCUCUUCCCUUAAGGUUUUGGUUCUGUGAUUUUAGGUUAUGUUUACAUUGAGGGUGUCGAUGAUAUAACCAUGGUGUUAUUUAAUCCCCCCAUCGCUGAAUACGUUCGGUUUAAGAAUAGGUUUGCUUAACUCUUUCAUGAGGUUUUGGAUAUUUGCAGUUUACUUAGUUUAUGUCGUAGGUUAAUUUCAUCUUUGUGUUUUGUUAUUAAUUGUUUGUGCAGGUUGGUUCUCUCUGUCGGUCGCCUGCGUGUGGGUGUUAAUCAGCGUCCAAUGAUGGUUGCUAUUCCAGAUCAAUUUCAAAUCAACCGCAUCUACCCGUCCAAGACGAUUUAUGACCUCAUCAGAUCGCCCGAGACUGGACUAUUUGUGGUUAGUGGUCGAAUUGUUGGCUAUUUUCAGGUGGAUCAGUGGUGGUUUUCGAUGUGUGACUGCGGAAACUGCAUGAAAGUUCGUGAUGGACUCUACUAGUGUGAUCUUUGUGGGCGCAACACGUUUGCAGUGAAGUCUAAGUCUAUGCUGAGGGUUGUUGUUUCCGAUGGUGAGGCCACCGCUACAUUCGAGAUGCCUGACUAUGUCUUGUAGGGUAUUGCUUCUCUUAGAUGAUCUGGGUGUGAGGUAUGCCUUGAGCAAGGCUGGAUUAGAGGCAAUGAAGAGGAAGAAUGUUCUCUUUGUGGUGAAAAAAUUGGAGAAUUACAUCCAUCUCUCUGGCCAUCCAUUCGAAGUUAUUUGUUUCACAAAUGACGAUGAAAUUGUUGGUUGUUACAAGCUGCUUGGGAAAGAUUACACCCCA